GUGCAGCAGGCGCGAAAACUUUGCAAUACACGAAAGUGUGACAGGGUCAUCCCGAGUGUCGACCGCUGAGGUUGGCUUUUACCCAGUCUAGAAAGCUGGGGGAAUAAGGAGAGGGCAAGUCUGGUGUCAGCCGCCGCGGUAAUACCAGCUCUCCGAGUGGUGUGGACGUUUAUUGGGCCUAAAGCAUCCGUAGCUGGCUGAACAAGUCCCCUGUUAAACCCACCGAUUUAAUCGUUGGUCUGCGGGGGAUACUGCUCGGCUAGGGGACGAGAGAGGCAGGCGGUAUUCUCGGGGUAGGGGUGAAAUCCUAUAAUCCCGGGAAGACCACCAGUGGCGAAGGCUGCCUGCUAGAGCGCGCCCGACGGUGAGGGAUGAAAGCUGGGGGAGCGAACCGGAUUAGAUACCCGGGUAGUCCCAGCUGUAAACGAUGCAGACUAGGUGUUUGGACGGCCACGUGCCGUUCUAGUGCCGCAGGGAAGCUGUUAAGUCUGCCGCCUGGGGAGUACGAUCGCAAGAUUGAAACUUAAAGGAAUUGGCGGGGGAGCAC
rnacentral:rRNA from 1 species